rnacentral:rRNA from 1 species
UACAGAGGUCCCGAGCGUUGUUCGGAUUCACUGGGCGUAAAGGGUGCGUAGGUGGCGAGGAAAGUCGGAUGUGAAAGCUCGGAGCUCAACUCCGAAAUGGCAUUGGAAACUACCUUGCUCGAGGGUUGGAGGGGGGACUGGAAUUCUCGGUGUAGCAGUGAAAUGCGUAGAUAUCGAGAGGAACACCAGUGGCGAAGGCGAGUCCCUGGACAACUCCUGACACUGAGGCACGAAGGCCAGGGGAGCAAACGGG